CCUACGGGACGCAGCAGUGAGGAAUAUUGGUCAAUGGGCUUACGCCUGAACCAGCCAAGUCGCGUGAGGGAAGACUGCCCUAUGGGUUGUAAACCUCUUUUGUCAGGGAGCAAUUGGCGCUACGUGUAGCGUUAUCGAGAGUACCUGAAGAAAAAGCAUCGGCUAACUCCGUGCCAGCAGCCGCGGUCAUACGGAGGAUGCGCGCGUUAUCCGGAUUGAUUGGGUUUAACGGGUGCGUAGGCGGAAUGCCAAGUCAGCGGUAAAAUCGCGGGGCUCAACCUCGCUCCGACGUUGAAACUGGCGUUCUUGAGGGGGCGAGAAGUAUGCGGAAUGCGUGGUGUAGCGGUGAAAUGCAUAGAUAUCACGCAGAACUCCGAUUGCGAAGGCAGCAUACCGGCGCCCAACUGACGCUGAAGCACGAAAGCGUGGGUAUCGAACAGGAGUAGAUACCCUAGUAGUC
rnacentral:rRNA from 1 species